rnacentral:rRNA from 1 species
AUUGAACGCUGGCGGCGUGCCUAAUACAUGCAAGUCGAGCGGAUUUAUCCUUCGGGAUAAGUUAGCGGCGGACGGGUGAGUAACACGUAGGCAACCUGCCUAUAAGACCGGGAUAACUAUCGGGAACGAUAGCUAAGACCGGAUAACUGGUUUUCUCGCAUGAGAGAAUCAUGAAACACGGAGCAAUCUGUGGCUUAUAGAUGGGCCUGCGGCGCAUUAGCUAGUUGGUGAGGUAACGGCUCACCAAGGCGACGAUGCGUAGCCGACCUGAGAGGGUGAACGGCCACACUGGGACUGAGACACGGCCCAGACUCCUACGGGAGGCAGCAGUAGGGAAUCUUCCGCAAUGGACGCAAGUCUGACGGAGCAACGCCGCGUGAGUGAUGAAGGUUUUCGGAUCGUAAAGCUCUGUUGCCCUAGACGAACAGCAAGGCGAGUAACUGCGCUUUGUGUGACGGUAUAGGAGAAGAAAGCCCCGGCUAACUACGUGCCAGCCGCCGCGGUAAAAC